rnacentral:rRNA from 1 species
GGCUUAGAGUUUGAUCAUGGCUCAGGAUGAACGCUGGCGGCGUGCCUAACACAUGCAAGUCGAACGGAGUUAUUUUGGAAACUUCUUCGGAAGUGGAAUCUUUAACUUAGUGGCGGACGGGUGAGUAACGCGUGAGCAACCUGCCCCGAAGUGGGGGACAACAGUUGGAAACGACUGCUAAUACCGCAUAAGCCCACGGCACCGCAUGGUGCUGAGGGAAAAGGACUUCGGUUUGCUUCGGGAUGGACUCGCGUCCAAUUAGCUAGUUGGUGAGGUAACGGCCCACCAAGGCGACGAUUGGUAGCCGGACUGAGAGGUUGAACGGCCACAUUGGGACUGAGACACGGCCCAGACUCCUACGGGAGGCAGCAGUGGGGGAUAUUGCACAAGGGGGGAAACCCUGAUGCAGCGACGCCGCGUGGAGGAAGAAGGUUUUCGGAUUGUAAACUCCUGUCGUACGGGACGAUAAUGACGGUACCGUACAAGAAAGCCACGGCUAACUACGUGCCAGCAGCCGCGGUAAAACGUAGGUGGCAAGCGUUGUCCGGAAUUACUGGGUGUAAAGGGAGCGCAGGCGGGGCGGCAAGCUGGAAGUGAAAUCUAUGGGCUCAACCCAUAAACUGCUUUCAAAACUGCUGGUCUUGAGUAGUGCAGAGGUAGGC